rnacentral:rRNA from 1 species
AUGAACGCUAGCUACAGGCUUAACACAUGCAAGUCGAGGGGCAGCAUGGUCUUAGCUUGCUAAGGCCGAUGGCGACCGGCGCACGGGUGAGUAACACGUAUCCAACCUGCCGUCUACUCUUGGACAGCCUUCUGAAAGGAAGAUUAAUACAAGAUGGCAUCAUGAGUCCGCAUGUUCACAUGAUUAAAGGUAUUCCGGUAGACGAUGGGGAUGCGUUCCAUUAGAUAGUAGGCGGGGUAACGGCCCACCUAGUCUUCGAUGGAUAGGGGUUCUGAGAGGAAGGUCCCCCACAUUGGAACUGAGACACGGUCCAAACUCCUACGGGAGGCAGCAGUGAGGAAUAUUGGUCAAUGGGCGAGAGCCUGAACCAGCCAAGUAGCGUGAAGGAUGACUGCCCUAUGGGUUGUAAACUUCUUUUAUAAAGGAAUAAAGUCGGGUAUGGAUACCCGUUUGCAUGUACUUUAUGAAUAAGGAUCGGCUAACUCCGUGCCAGCAGCCGCGGUAAUACGGAGGAUCCGAGCGUUAUCCGGAUUUAUUGGGUUUAAAGGGAGCGUAGAUGGAUGUUUAAGUCAGUUGUGAAAGUUUGCGGCUCAACCGUAAAAUUGCAGUUGAUACUGGAUAUCUUGAGUGCAGUUGAGGCAGGCGGAAUUCGUGGUGUAGCGGUGAAAUGCUUAGAUAUCACGAAGAACUCCGAUUGCGAAGGCAGCCUGCUAAGCUGCAACUGACAUUGAGGCUCGAAAGUGUGGGUAUCAAACAGGAUUAGAUACCCUGGUAGUCCACACGGUAAACGAUGAGUACUCGCUGUUUGCGAUAUACUGCAAGCGGCCAAGCGAAAGCGUUAAGUAUUCCACCUGGGGAGUACGCCGGCAACGGUGAAACUCAAAGGAAUUGACGGGGGCCCGCACAAGCGGAGGAACAUGUGGUUUAAUUCGAUGAUACGCGAGGAACCUUACCCGGGCUUAAAUUGCAGAUGAAUUACGGUGAAAGCCGUAAGCCGCAAGGCAUCUGUGAAGGUGCUGCAUGGUUGUCGUCAGCUCGUGCCGUGAGGUGUCGGCUUAAGUGCCAUAACGAGCGCAACCCUUGUUGUCAGUUACUAACAGGUUCCGCUGAGGACUCUGACAAGACUGCCAUCGUAAGAUGUGAGGAAGGUGGGGAUGACGUCAAAUCAGCACGGCCCUUACGUCCGGGGCUACACACGUGUUACAAUGGGGGGUACAGAGGGCCGCUACCACGCGAGUGGAUGCCAAUCCCAAAAACCUCUCUCAGUUCGGACUGGAGUCUGCAACCCGACUCCACGAAGCUGGAUUCGCUAGUAAUCGCGCAUCAGCCACGGCGCGGUGAAUACGUUCCCGGGCCUUGUACACACCGCCCGUCAAGCCAUGGGAGCCGGGGGUACCUGAAGUGCGUAACCGCGAGGAGCGCCCUAGGGUAAAACUGGUGACUGGGGCU